rnacentral:rRNA from 1 species
GAUGAACGCUAGCGGCAGGCCUAAUACAUGCAAGUCGGACGGGAUUGAGAAGCUUGCUUUUCAUGAGAGUGGCGCACGGGUGCGUAACACGUAUGUAAACUACCUUAAUCAGGGGGAUAGCCUCUCGAAAGAGAGAUUAACACCGCAUAAAAUCAAUUUAUGGCAUCAUACAAUGAUCAAAUAGUUAUAGGAUUAAGAUGGGCAUGCGGAACAUUAGCUAGUGGGUAAGGUAACGGCUUACCAAGGCUACGAUGUUUAGGGAAUCUGAGAGGAUGACCCCCCACACUGGUACUGAGACACGGACCAGACUCCUACGGGAGGCAGCAGUAAGGAAUAUUGGUCAAUGGGCGCAAGCCUGAACCAGCCAUGCCGCGUGCAGGAAGACGGCCCUACGGGUUGUAAACUGCUUUUGUACCGGAAUAAACCUUUGUAUGUAUACGAAGCUGAAUGUACGGUAAGAAUAAGGAUCGGCUAACUCCGUGCCAGCAGCCGCCGUAA